UACGGAGGGUGCAAGCGUUAUCCGGAAUCACUGGGUUUAAAGGGUGCGUAGGCGGCUUAGUAAGUCAGUGGUGAAAGGCUGUGGCUUAACCAUGGAAUUGCCAUUGAUACUGCUGAGCUUGAAUCAGGUUGAGGUUGGCGGAAUGUGACAUGUAGCGGUGAAAUGCUUAGAUAUGUCAUGGAACACCGAUUGCGAAGGCA
rnacentral:rRNA from 1 species